rnacentral:rRNA from 1 species
AUGCACCACCUCCCCGCCCGCUUCCACCGCGCCGCCGCCGAGGGGCCAGCCACCAUGGUCGUGCUGCGCCUCGGGAAGACGGCGGCGGGACGGAUCCGUCCCUUGCUCGCUCCCCCACCCACCCUGCGUCACAGAUCUCCUGCGCGGGCGCCCCCCUCCCAGCUGCUGCACGUCUCUGCCGGUCUGGCGGAGGGCGCGGCGUGCCAGCCUCGGCCACGGGGCGUCGUCCCUGCAGUCCUCCCUCCCCUCUGUGCGUGGCCCAGCCCUGUUGGUGCCGCCGCCCAUGCUUUGGGCAUGGGAUCUGCGACCGGUAACAAGGGCUUCCGCGGCCUGCCUUCCUGCAGGCGCCCCCCUCGUCACCGGCGACCCGUCUCUCCUCCGAGCCACGACGAUGGCUCUGGCGGUGGCGACGAGUCUACUUUGCUAGUGGCAGUCAUGAAGCCCUCAAAGCGAGUGCUUGCUGGGGCUGCUCCAGCCCCGAUGACCUUUGACCUGCGUCCCUCCGGUGUCCUAGGCUGCCGGCGUCCUUUGCCGGGCGGCUCCGGCCUCGGCGACCCAGCAGUUGCGUUCCUUCCAGCUCGCCUGGCUCCCCAAUGA